rnacentral:rRNA from 1 species
UGUUGGGUAGGGGAGCGUUCUGUAAGCCUGCGAAGGUGACCUGUGAGGGUUGCUGGAGGUAUCAGAAGUGCGAAUGCUGACAUAAGUAACGAUAAAGCGGGUGAAAAGCCCGCUCGCCGGAAGACCAAGGGUUCCUGUCCAACGUUAAUCGGGGCAGGGUGAGUCGACCCCUAAGGCGAGGCCGAAAGGCGUAGUCGAUGGGAAACGGGUUAAUAUUCCCGUACUUGGUGUUACUGCGAAGGGGGGACGGAGAAGGCUAUGUUGGCCGGGCGACGGUUGUCCCGGUUUAAGCGUGUAGGUGUGUGUUCCAGGUAAAUCCGGUUCACUUUAACACUGAGGCGUGAUGACGAGGCACUACGGUGCUGAAGCAACAAAUGCCCUGCUUCCAGGAAAAGCCUCUAAGCAUCAGGUAACAUCAAAUCGUACCCCAAACCGACACAGGUGGUCAGGUAGAGAAUACCAAGGCGCUUGAGAGAACUCGGGUGAAGGAACUAGGCAAAAUGGUGCCGUAACUUCGGGAGAAGGCACGCUGACACGUAGGUGAAGUGAUUUACUCACGGAGCUGAAGUCAGUCGAAGAUACCAGCUGGCUGCAACUGUUUAUUAAAAACACAGCACUGUGCAAACACGAAAGUGGACGUAUACGGUGUGACGCCUGCCCGGUGCCGGAAGGUUAAUUGAUGGGGUCAGCGCAAGCGAAGCUCCUGAUCGAAGCCCCGGUAAACGGCGGCCGUAACUAUAACGGUCCUAAGGUAGCGAAAUUCCUUGUCGGGUAAGUUCCGACCUGCACGAAUGGCGUAAUGAUGGCCAGGCUGUCUCCACCCGAGACUCAGUGAAAUUGAACUCGCUGUGAAGAUGCAGUGUACCCGCGGCAAGACGGAAAGACCCCGUGAACCUUUACUAUAGCUUGACACUGAACAUUGAGCCUUGAUGUGUAGGAUAGGUGGGAGGCUUUGAAGUGUGGACGCCAGUCUGCAUGGAGCCGACCUUGAAAUACCACCCUUUAAUGUUUGAUGUUCUAACGUGGACCCGUAAUCCGGGUUGCGGACAGUGUCUGGUGGGUAGUUUGACUGGGGCGGUCUCCUCCUAAAGAGUAACGGAGGAGCACGAAGGUUGGCUAAUCCUGGUCGGACAUCAGGAGGUUAGUGCAAUGGCAUAAGCCAGCUUGACUGCGAGCGUGACGGCGCGAGCAGGUGCGAAAGCAGGUCAUAGUGAUCCGGUGGUUCUGAAUGGAAGGGCCAUCGCUCAACGGAUAAAAGGUACUCCGGGGAUAACAGGCUGAUACCGCCCAAGAGUUCAUAUCGACGGCGGUGUUUGGCACCUCGAUGUCGGCUCAUCACAUCCUGGGGCUGAAGUAGGUCCCAAGGGUAUGGCUGUUCGCCAUUUAAAGUGGUACGCGAGCUGGGUUUAGAACGUCGUGAGACAGUUCGGUCCCUAUCUGCCGUGGGCGCUGGAGAACUGAGGGGGGCUGCUCCUAGUACGAGAGGACCGGAGUGGACGCAUCACUGGUGUUCGGGUUGUCAUGCCAAUGGCACUGCCCGGUAGCUAAAUGCGGAAGAGAUAAGUGCUGAAAGCAUCUAAGCACGAAACUUGCCCCGAGAUGAGUUCUCCCUGAGACUUAGAGUCUCCUGAAGGAACGUUGAAGACGACGACGUUGA